GUGUUACGGCAGCACAUUUACUAAAAUUGGAAUGAUACAGAGAAGAUUAGCAUGGCCCCUGCGCAAGGAUGACACGCAAAUUUGUGAAGCAUUCCAUAUUUGU
rnacentral:snRNA from 1 species